AUUGAACGCUGGCGGCAGGCCUAACACAUGCAAGUCGAACGGUAACAGGAAGAAUCUUGCUUCUUUGCUGACGAGUGGCGGACGGGUGAGUAAUGUCUGGGAAACUGCCUGAUGUAGGGGGAUAACUACUGGAAACGGUAGCUAAUACCGCAUAACGUCUCAUGACCAAAGAGGGGGACCUUCGGGCCUCUUGCCAUCGGAUGUGCCCAGAUGGGAUUAGCUAGUAGGUGGGGUAACGGCUCACCUAGGCGACGAUCCCUAGCUGGUCUGAGAGGAUGACCAGCCACACGGGAACUGAGACACGGUCCAGACUCCUACGGGAGGCAGCAGUGGGGAAUAUUGCACAAUGGGCGCAAGCCUGAUGCAGCCAUGCCGCGUGUAUGAAGAAGGCCUUCGGGUUGUAAAGUACUUUCAGCGGGGAGGAAGGGAGUAAAGUUAAUACCUUUGCUCAUUGACGUUACCCGCAGAAGAAGCACCGGCUAACUACGUG
rnacentral:rRNA from 1 species